ACUCUUGAAAAUAGAAUGGGUAGGGCUUUAUUUUUAAAAUAUUGUGAGGUAACAUAUUCCAAGGACUACAAUGUCCAGUGCUAUCUGGAAGUUUUCUUAUACAGGUAAAAAGAAAAAAGAAACUUCUUGGAAGCCAGUUUUUUAGGAAAACAUUUUCUUAGACUUGGAUUAUUUCUUGAUGGUAAGCAACUUGGUAUCCAGGAUGUGAUAAAAUGUCUCACCGACUGAGCAGUUGGUUUGUGAACUGCGCUCCUGCUUCUACAGUCUCUGGGCCACUGAAUAAAGCCUGCAAUGCUUCACCCUCACUUUUGAUCUUCUAUAUCGGCUUUGUGACACCGAACGGCCUACGGUGUGUUAUCUGCACAGAAAAUGGAAGAUUGUACUCUUCUGGGAUAUUAGGUCUGUUUCACUGUGCAGAAGACUUUCAGACGCCUGUACCCAGUGUGGAAAUCGCAUCUGGACUUGCUGAAAGCAUACAUCAGAGCCAGUCUCCCCCCUGCACCCAUCGCCUAAAGCAAAACCACAGUCACUCAGGAGCUACGUUUUCAUCCUUUGUAGAAAUCGGUGUAUUAAGUAUUGCAUAAAUUGGAAUUCAAGACCCUUUGGCACAAAAUAAACAUAAAGACAGACUGACCAGCAGGACAUCAUCAAGGACGGACCAGGCUUGCCAUGGGGGGGUCCCACUAGAGGUGUUGGCCCAAGUCAGCGCUCCCCUUUCACAGCGAUGCCCACAUAUUUGAAGGCAAGCCUGGAUUAUCCAACAGUGAGCACUAAGCAGAAAUGUGAAUAUUCAUUUUCACUUUUCAGAUUUAAAAUUUUUCCUUUGAUCCUUUCUGUUUUUCCCAUUGCUUCUUAUUUCUAAUGCUGCCUGCCAGCUGCCAGCUCUCUGGCACACAGAACAUGGAACCCUUUGAGAUACCACUUCCCCGUUAAAGGAGCAGCUCCUCAGUUAAUGGGCCUGGCCUCUCACUGAGUCUUCAGCUUUGUCAUUUGUUUCUCAGGAAAGGUGGAUUCUGUUUCUUAGCUGAAUUCCUAAUCCCUGGUUUUCUAACUCUUGCCUAAGUAAGCUCAUGGGUCAUGUAAUUGCUGUGUUAAGGAGAAUUCGUUCAUCAGAUGAUGCAUAAUAUAUCCUAUGCUUUGCAAAGUUCAAUGGCUUCUUUUGAAGACAUGCAUGUAAAGGAAUUAAUCAUACCCAGCUAGACAAAUGCCACAACAAAUCUAUAUGAGGAGUUCAAUCUCCUCAUCCCAUUCUUUAUUAUGCUUCAUCCCACAGUAUCCUUUUCAUUAAAAGGUCGUACACCGCAUCUGUUUCAUUCACCAAUACAUCCCUAGGAGACUAUCAGGCAACAACAUAGAUGCUCAAUUAAUAUUGAUUGAAUAACUAAAUGGGGAUGUGAUUAAAACAGUUUGGGAGAACCACAGACAAGGACAGAGAAGAUGAAAUUACAGAUGAGGAGGGCUCUGUCAGGGUGGGAAGCGGGCAUCUUAGCCAUUGCUGUGGGUGUAAUGGUGUGGAGGGAGAUUGGGGAAAGGAACAAAGCACAGGGGGCAGGGCAAGGGAUGCUACUGGAUGUGGAACGUGUUUCUUAUGAGGCUCUGGGGAUCGGCCUCCAAGCUCAUUUGGCUUGUUGAUCAAGUUCUGUUCUUUGGGACUGUAGGACCGAGGCUGUCAUUUCCUGGUUGUAAGCCAGGGCACAGUCUUUACUUCUACAGGUGGCCACAUUCUUUCCCAGGUGAACUGUGAGCUCCUAGAAACUCUAUCUGGUCCUGCACGUGAGUUCCAUGAUCUCUGAGCCAGUCACAGUCAAAUUUUUCUUGUGCUAAUAUCUCUGAGUUUUCCUUCUGCUGUAUCUCUCUGACUCCAGAUAGAGAAAAUUAUUUGCUUUUAAGAGCACAUGUGAUUAGAGUAGGCCAUCUGCAUGAUCCAGGAUUAUUUACCUAUUUUAAGGUCUGCAAACUUAGUUAUACCUGCAAAGUCCUGUUGACCAUGUAAACAUGGCACAUUCACAAGUUCUGAAGAUUAGAGUAUGAACAUUUUUGUGGGGUCAAAAAUAUGCCUACUACAGAUAUGACCAAAAGUACAAGAUGUUAACAGAGUAUGUAAUAGUUUACAUGCCAGUAAGACAUUGAGAAGCAAUGGGAAGAAGUUAGCAAAUACCCUUGGGUACACACACACACCACUUUAUGUUAUGUUUCACUUUAGUCUUGCAAAAUAAAAAGAAGUCUUAAAAAAAAAAUCUUAUUUUUAUCCCUAAAAUUCUAUUUAUUUAUGCUCUUUUAUAUGCCAAAAUCAUCAUUAUUCACUUAAUAAUGGACAUCAAAACCAACUUAACUAUAAAAUGUAAUUUCACUAAUUUAAAUAGCUCUGCUAUUCUGUUGAGAGUCUUAAUUUUCAAAAAAACAGUUUGGAAUUAUUCAAUGCUUAACACUUUGUAUUACAGUGUGGAAAAGUAUAAGUGGAUAAUAAAUAAUAAGUUCUCCCUG